UACGAAGGGGGCUAGCGUUGCUCGGAAUCACUGGGCGUAAAGCGCACGUAGGCGGAUUGCUAAGUCAGGGGUGAAAUCCUGGAGCUCAACUCCAGAACUGCCUUUGAUACUGCAAAUCUCGAGUCCGGAAGAGGUGAGUGGAAUUCCUAGUGUAGAGGUGAAAUUCGUAGAUAUUAGGAAGAACACCAGUGGCGAAGGCGGCUCACUGGUCCGGUACUGACGCUGAGGUGCGAAAGCGUGGGGAGCAAACAGG
rnacentral:rRNA from 1 species